UUGGAGGAAAGCAGGGGAUCGCAAGACCUUGCGCUUUUGGAGUGGCCGAUGCCUGAUUAGCUAGUUGGUGGGGUAAGAGCCUACCAAGGCGACGAUCAGUAGUUGGUCUGAGAGGACGACCAGCCACACUGGGACUGAGACACGGCCCAGACUCCUACGGGAGGCAGCAGUGGGGAAUUUUGGACAAUGGGCGAAAGCCUGAUCCAGCAAUGCCGCGUGAGUGAAGAAGGCCUUCGGGUUGUAAAGCUCUUUCAGUCGAGAAGAAAAGGUCGCGACUAAUAAUCGCGACUCAUGACGGUAUCGACAGAAGAAGCACCGGCUAACUACGUGCCAGCAGCCGCGGUAGUACGUAGGGUGCGAGCGUUAAUCGGAAUUACUGGGCGUAAAGGGUGCGCAGGCGGCUUUGUAAGUCAGAUGUGA
rnacentral:rRNA from 1 species